GAUGAACGCUGGCGGCGUGCCUAAUACAUGCAAGUCGAGCGGUAAGGCUCCUACUCUGUACUCUAGAGAUCUAGAGUGUAGGGUUGGAGUACACGAGCGGCGGACGGCUGAGUAACGCGUAGGAACAUACCCCAAAGUGAGGGAUAAGCACCAGAAAUGGUGUCUAAUACCGCAUGUGAUCUUCGGAUUAAAGCUUUAUGCGCUUUGGGAAUGGCCUGCGUCUGAUUAGCUUGUUGGUGAGGUAAAAGCUCACCAAGGCGAUGAUCGGUAGCUGGUCUGAGAGGAUGAUCAGCCAGACUGGGACUGAGACACGGCCCAGACUCCUACGGGAGGCAGCAGUAGGGAAUUUUCCACAAUGGGCGAAAGCCUGAUGGAGCAACGCCGCGUGCAGGAUGAAGGCCUUCGGGUUGUAAACUGCUUUUAUUGGUGAAGACUUCCGACAGUAACCAAUGAAUAAGGAUCGGCUAACUACGUG
rnacentral:rRNA from 1 species